rnacentral:rRNA from 1 species
AUUGAACGCUGGCGGCAUGCUUACACCUGCAAGUCGCACGGCAGCACGGGUGCUUGCACCUGGGGGCGAGUGGCGAACGGGUGAGUAAUACAUCGGAACAUGUCCUGUAGUGGGGGAUAGCCCGGCGAAAGCCGGAUUAAUACCGCAUACGAUCUACGGAUGAAAGCGGGGGGCCUUCGGGCCUCGCGAUAUAGGGUUGGCCGAUGGCUGAUUAGCUAGUUGGUGGGGUAAAGGCCUACCAAGGCGACGAUCAGUAGCUGGUCUGAGAGGACGACCAGCCACACUGGGACUGAGACACGGCCCAGACUCCUACGGGAGGCAGCAGUGGGGAAUUUUGGACAAUGGGCGAAAGCCUGAUCCAGCAAUGCCGCGUGUGUGAAGAAGGCCUUCGGGUUGUAAAGCACUUUUGUCCGGAAAGAAAUCCUUGGCCCUAAUACGGUCGGGGGAUGACGGUACCGGAAGAAUAAGCACCGGCUAACUACGU